AACGAACGCUGGCGGCAUGCCUAACACAUGCAAGUCGAACGAGACCUUCGGGUCUAGUGGCGCAUGGGUGCGUAACGCGUGGGAACCUGCCCUUAGGUUCGGAAUAACUCCCCGAAAGGGGUGCUAAUACCGGAUAAUGUCUUCGGACCAAAGAUUUAUCGCCUUUGGAUGGGCCCGCGUUGGAUUAGCUAGUUGGUAGGGUAAAAGCCUACCAAGGCGACGAUCCAUAGCUGGUCUGAGAGGAUGAUCAGCCACACUGGGACUGAGACACGGCCCAGACUACUACGGGAGGCAGCAGUGGGGAAUAUUGGACAAUGGGCGAAAGCCUGAUCCAGCAAUGCCGCGUGAGUGAUGAAGGCCUUAGGGUUGUAAAGCUCUUUUACCCGGGAUGAUAAUGACAGUACCGGGAGAAUAAGCUCCGGCUAACUCCGUG
rnacentral:rRNA from 1 species